GAUGAACGCUGGCGGCGUGCCUAAUACAUGCAAGUCGAACGCACAGCGAUAGGUGCUUGCACCUAUCAAGUGAGUGGCGAACGGGUGAGUAACACGUGGACAACCUGCCUCAAGGCUGGGGAUAACAUUUGGAAACAGAAGCUAAUACCGAAUAAAACUUAGUGUCGCAUGACACCAGGUUAAAAGGCGCUACGGCGUCACCUAGAGAUGGAUCCGCGGUGCAUUAGUUAGUUGGGUUGAGGUUAAAGGGCUUCACCCAAAGACCGAAUGAUGCAUAGCCGAGUUGAGAGACUGAUCGGCCACAUUGGGACUGAGACACGGCCCAAACUCCUACGGGAGCUGCAGUAGGGAAUCUUCC
rnacentral:rRNA from 1 species